rnacentral:rRNA from 1 species
UUUCCCUCAGGAUAGCUGGCACUCGCUCGAGCGAGUCUCAUCUGGUAAAGCGAAUGAUUAGAGGCCUUGGGGCCGAAACGACCUCAACCUAUUCUCAAACUUUAAAUGGGUGAGAUCUCUGGCUUGCUUGAACGCUGAAGCCACGAGAUGAUUAUUUAUAACUUGGAUCAGAGUGCCAAGUGGGCCAAUUUUGGUAAGCAGAACUGGCGCUGUGGGA